UGAAAUUAACAAAAUACUAAAAAUAGUUUGAUAAACUCAUAUAAACUUCUGAACAACAUAAUCUCAACCAUACAAUCCCAAAGAACUGUGGAACUGAGUCAUAAGAUCUAUGGAAUAAAACUACAACAUCUACACAUCCCUAUCUAAAAUAAAUGCAAUAGGAAGUAAAAUAGGGAAGGUGACUCCGAGGCCUGCGGACGUGGAGUAGGUAUAACUUAAAGUCUCCAAAGCUGUAUCUCAAAUCAACUAUAAUAUCCGACAUAGGAAGACGUACCUGGAUCUGCACAAAAAUUAUGCAGAAGCAUAACAUGAGUAUACCACAACGAUACUCAUUAAGUAUUAAGCCUAACCUCAGUAGAGUAGUAACGUGGCCAAGUCAAGACACCUACAAGGAUAUAAAUAAAUAUAGUAAGACCAUAAGAAUAAAUAACAACGGAAAGCGGAGAAAUAAUUGAUACGAAACAAGAUAAUAAAAUUAACUGAUACCGGAAAUUAGGCAUGGAAGUGACAUAAAAAAAGCAACUACAAAGAACUACAAUGACCAUAUAUGGACAACAACUUCCAGAACAAAAUGAAUGAAACAACAAAAAAUGUUCCCACCAAAACUCUUUGCAACAUGAUAUAAACAACAAAAAUCAGAACGAGGUACCGCCUUGUGUACAAUAAUAUGACAAUGAGUUACCGCCUCAUAUUAUAAAGAAUCACAACUGAGGUACUGCGUCAUAUUCACAUUUCUCAAUUUCAAUCACAAUCUUUACUUAUACCACCACGUGAACUUUACAUUUGAAAUAUAUUUCAAAAAAGAGUUUUCCCAAAAUAGCUACACUCACUUUAGCUCACCUUAUGAUGCUGCGUGGCUUCAUAUAGUCCUCUUACA
rnacentral:lncRNA from 1 species